AUACGUAGGGGGCGAGCGUUAUCCGGAAUUACCGGGCGUAAAGGGUGCGUAGGCGGCCUUUUAAGUCAGAUGUGAAAGGCUACGGCUUAACCGUAGUUAGCAUUUGAAACUAAAGGCUUGAGUGCAGGAGAGGAGAGUGGAAUUCCUAGUGUAGCGGUGAAAUGCGUAGAUAUUAGGAGGAACACCAGUGGCGAAGGCGACUCUCUGGACUGCAACUGACGCUGAGGCACGAAAGCGUGGGGAGCGAACAGGAUUAGAUACCCUGGUAGUCCACGCCGUAAACGAUGAGUGCUAGGUGUUGGUGGGGACACCCAUCAGUGCCGCAGCUAACGCAUUAAGCACUCCGCCUGGGGAGUACGGUCGCAAGACUGAA
rnacentral:rRNA from 1 species